rnacentral:rRNA from 4 species
UGGAUUCAGCGGCGGACGGGUGAGUAAUGCCUAGGAAUCUGCCUGGUAGUGGGGGACAACGUUUCGAAAGGAACGCUAAUACCGCAUACGUCCUACGGGAGAAAGCAGGGGACCUUCGGGCCUUGCGCUAUCAGAUGAGCCUAGGUCGGAUUAGCUAGUUGGUGAGGUAAUGGCUCACCAAGGCGACGAUCCGUAACUGGUCUGAGAGGAUGAUCAGUCACACUGGAACUGAGACACGGUCCAGACUCCUACGGGAGGCAGCAGUGGGGAAUAUUGGACAAUGGGCGAAAGCCUGAUCCAGCCAUGCCGCGUGUGUGAAGAAGGUCUUCGGAUUGUAAAGCACUUUAAGUUGGGAGGAAGGGUUGUAGAUUAAUACUCUGCAAUUUUGACGUUACCGACAGAAUAAGCACCGGCUAACUCUGUGCCAGCAGCCGCGGUAAUACAGAGGGUGCAAGCGUUAAUCGGAAUUACUGGGCGUAAAGCGCGCGUAGGUGGUUUGUUAAGUUGGAUGUGAAAUCCCCGGGCUCAACCUGGGAACUGCAUCCAAAACUGGCAAGCUAGAGUAUGGUAGAGGGUGGUGGAAUUUCCUGUGUAGCGGUGAAAUGCGUAGAUAUAGGAAGGAACACCAGUGGCGAAGGCGACCACCUGGACUGAUACUGACA